UCAGAAUUCAGUUUUCCUAGUCUUCCUCGAAGUUCUUCGGUAGCAUUCAAAUAUAGAAUAAAAUGUAAGUUUAUUCUACCCUACUAAAUUUUCAGGCUACUUUUUGAAUGCUACCGAAGAACUUUGCAAAAGACUAGGAAAACUGAAAUCGGA
rnacentral:pre_miRNA from 1 species